rnacentral:misc_RNA from 1 species
GAUGAAGAACGUAGCGAAAUGCGAUAAGUAGUGUGAAUUGCAGAAUUCAGUGAAUCAUCGAAUCUUUGAACGCACAUUGCGCCCCUUGGUAUUCCAUGGGGCAUGCCUGUUCGAGUGUCAUUUGUACCUUCAAGCUUUGCUUGGUGUUGGGUGUUUGUCUCGCCUCCGCGUGUAGACUCGCCUCAAAACAAUUGGCAGCCGGCGUAUUGAUUUCGGAGCGCAGUACAUCUCGCGCUUUGCACUCACAACGACGACGUCCAAAAGUACAUUUUUACACUCUUGACCUCGGAUCAGGUAGGGAUACCCGCUGAACUUAAGCAUAUCAAUAAGCGGAGGA